rnacentral:rRNA from 1 species
GACGAACGCUGGCGGCGUGCCUAAUACAUGCAAGUUGAGCGCUGAAGGUUGGUACUUGUACCAACUGGAUGAGCAGCGAACGGGUGAGUAACGCGUGGGGAAUCUGCCUUUGAGCGGGGGACAACAUUUGGAAACGAAUGCUAAUACCGCAUAAAAACUUUAAACACAAGUUUUAAGUUUGAAAGAUGCAAUUGCAUCACUCAAAGAUGAUCCCGCGUUGUAUUAGCUAGUUGGUGAGGUAAAGGCUCACCAAGGCGAUGAUACAUAGCCGACCUGAGAGGGUGAUCGGCCACAUUGGGACUGAGACACGGCCCAAACUCCUACGGGAGGCAGCAGUAGGGAAUCUUCGGCAAUGGACGAAAGUCUGACCGAGCAACGCCGCGGGAGUGAAGAAGGUUUUCGGAUCGUAAAACUCUGUUGGUAGAGAAGAACGUUGGUGAGAGUGGAAAGCUCAUCAAGUGACGGUAACUACCCAGAAAGGGACGGCUAACUACGUG